UGAUACUUAGGUUAGAGUGAUUGGGUCAAUUGAGCUUGAUAUAUGCAUGAAAAUGCUUAGAAAUUUGAGUAGAAAACUUGGAGGAAAAUUUCCCUCAACAACACCUAUUGCUAUUGAAAAGACACUAAAAUGGCGUGAAACACAUGACUUUCAUGUACAUCUAUAACCAGUUUGUCACUUUUUUCUAAAAUUACAAGGAAAAUGGCCAAAUGAAAUUCUUUGUUACUUUAUUUUCAGACUACAUGCGUGUUUAAGGAGAAGUAUAGUUUGGUGGUCAACAUUUAUUCCACUCAAUCAAUGAGUACAUGUAUGAAAAUUAAAAAAAAAAAAAUGGAAUCAAGAUAUCUCACAAGCCAGCCUGGCAACCUGCAAGUGUGAAAAGUUAGUUGCCAGUGAAAAAAAUCUGCUUGCAUUGGCCAUUCUAGUGGUCACAACGUCAAGCUUCUGGCCUGAGCAAAAAUGUCAUAAAAUGCAAUGCUAGUGGAGAGAAAGAUAUGCUUUUGUAUUGCAAAUGAAUUUGGGAGCAGAUUGGAGCUAAUUUAGUCUGUGUCCAUGCUGGAAAUGUCAAAAAUGUCUAAAAACUGCAGUUUUGCCAAAAAUCUCCAGGUGCUAAUGGGCUAACUGAAAAUAAUGUUUCUGACAGUAAACUUUCACAAUUAUAAAGAUCUUUUCUCAAGACUUUUUAUCCACAACAGAAGGGCUAUUUGAAAAUCUUUUUUACCAAUGCAGUAACUCAAAAUAUUAAUUGCCAGACAGAUAUAUGCCAACCAUUCCGUGGCUUGAAUUAAACCUUUCACAGCUUCUGUCACCUUUGCCUUACAUACACCUGAACAACUGAGAUUAUCACUUACCCCGACCAGGGGUAAGCUGGAAAUUUUUUCCAGGCCUGCCCGACAUUUUUCCUCCUGAACUGUUUUGGUUGUCUUUUCUGUGAAUUUUUCCAGCCACCUCCUCCCCCUCCGAACAGUAAUCUUAGUAAUGGAUUAACUCUUAUUUUAAUUUACACUUUCAUUGGUUUGUAUUGACAUGAUUGAUUUAUGGUUGUUUGAACGUUGUGGGCAUAUUGUUAAAUGUACGUAUUAAAAAAAAAUAGACAGCAUGUCACUUAUUAAAGUGUCUGUAUUACUUAUCAGGUAAAACAUGAAGCACCUGAACAUAAAGUGAUGGGCCUGGAGAACUGAAAGGCCAGUGGUGGAUGUGAGAUAAAGCUACGUGAAGUAGAAAGCAGGCUAACAAGAAGCAAACAACAACGUGGGGCAACUAAGAUCAAUGGAGGAGUCAGAUACAGCUACAAAUCAGGACAAACAAGAAACACAUUAAACACCAGAUGAAUUAGUGGAGGAAGUGAAAUAAAUUCAACAUGGCAGGCUAACAAGAAGCAAACAACAACAUGGGGCAACUAAGAUCAAUGAAGGAGUCAGAUGCAGCUAGAUCAGGACAAACAAGAAACACAUUAGACACCGGAAGAUUAGUGGAGGAAGUGAAAUACAUUCAACAUGGCAGGUCAGUCGAAGUUUUUCUUUAUCUGUAGUCAGUGGACUAGUGUAUCACCACAAUUUUAAUCACUUUGAGAACAGGUACAGUGUACAUGUACCAUGUAU
rnacentral:lncRNA from 1 species